CUGGAUCCGACUACAAACUCCCGUGAGGAAUCACAGGUGCAAAAGAAGAUGCAAGGUACCAGUGGUACCGUACCACAGAACCACUUAUGGGGACGUUUAUGGCAGCACCAAAGAACUGGGUUUCUCGCGAAGGAGAAAAAUUCACUGUGACAUGGACCACCGAAAACGGAUUUCAGCCAAGAGUUGCCCGUUGCUCCCGUCCACGUUUACGAGCUCCCAGUUACCCCUACCCUCCCUUAUUACCGCAGAGGGGCAGGUAGCAAAACCUAAAAUACCUUUUUAUUAGAUUGUUUAUGAAUUUUUCGUGUUUUAUUUACCUUAAGCUACCAUGAUCCCUGACAAAGUUUGAUUAAUUAAAUUAAAAUUCUUAAGAUUCGUUGGAGUUCUAUUUUGAUUUACAAACGAUUCCCUCUUGGCAAUUUAGCUUAUUUGGACAGUGGAGAUAGGCGCUACAUCAUACCCAAAUCAUACAUACUACCUACAUCAUACCAUUUUGUCCAUUUAUGAUUAUGAAAUCUUAUGAUUCAUGUUUUUGUCUGUUGAAUAACUUGGAAUUUUUUCACAAUUUUAGUGUAACCACCUUUUUCAUAUUCAUGCAACCUUGCCCACUCCCCCUCCUAUUGUUAUUAUUCAAAAUGGACGCUGACUUGUUGACAGUGCGUUAAUUAACUUGUGACGGUAUGAUUGUUUCGAGAGUUAUUCACUGCAUUUUGGAGUUUUUGAUUAACUUAAUCGCUGUAAAUCUGUGCAACAAGCAGAGAAAGUGGUUUAACAAGACCUUCCCGGUUCACCCAUCGUGUCAUUUCACAAUUAUUUGUGGUUUUUUAUACGAGGUCAUUGGGCCUAUGACACCGACUCCAGGUUUUAACUGAACGAAAAAUUCUACGAAACCGACUGAAACUGAAUCGUCAAUUCUUUGAACUCGCCAGGAAAGUUACGUAAUGGAUAAAGGAUAAACGAGUUCGUUCUUCAAGAAUCUUGAGAAACUGAGAAUUCGACUUUGCCCAUGUGAGUUAGGAACUUUAAAGAGACGGCACCUCCAAGUAAAUCACGACGCCGUACGGCUGUAGGAUGCUACUUUCUUAAUAAAUGCUGAUUUUGAGGCAACAGGCAACGCUGCUCUGUUUUGACAUGGCACAAGAUUGACAGCACCUUGACCAGUUUUGACACCUUCGAGGCAGAAGCCUAGGCGCCACCCUAUUGGCAUUUCCAUAUCUCUGACGUUGUUCGAAAACUGUGUAGGUUGAUUGUAUUUGAUUACGUGCAAGCCCUAAUGGUUAGAGGAAAGCCACCUCAUUGAUGAAUGUAUUUGUUCGGCAAUUGCUCAAUCUGAAAAGUGCUGAUGAUUUGUUCCUGUCAGAGAAUUCAUAGUAGUAAGUUGAAUGUUCAUCUUGAAAUGGUUGAAGAGAUCUGGUGGAAUCUACUCUCUUAACAACAAGGGGAUUCAACAAUAUUGAGUUAUAGAUUAAAGUUUUAUAGCAGUUACUUUAGUUGAGCAAUAGUAAUAUAUAAUUUCUGCUAUGGUAUUUAUUCUGUAUGAGUGAGAAAUGAAAUAUACAAAUUAUAAGUGA